rnacentral:rRNA from 1 species
GAUGAACGCUGGCGGCGUGCCUAAUACAUGCAAGUCGAGCGAACGGACGAGAAGCUUGCUUCUCUGAUGUUAGCGGCGGACGGGUGAGUAACACGUGGAUAACCUACCUAUAAGACUGGGAUAACUUCGGGAAACCGUAGCUAAUACCGGAUAAUAUUUUGAACCGCAUGGUUCGAAAGUGAAAGACGGUCUUGCUGUCACUUAUAGAUGGAUCCGCGCUGCAUUAGCUAGUUGGUAAGGUAACGGCUUACCAAGGCAACGAUGCAUAGCCGACCUGAGAGGGUGAUCGGCCACACUGGAACUGAGACACGGUCCAGACUCCUACGGGAGGCAGCAGUAGGGAAUCUUCCGCAAUGGGCGAAAGCCUGACGGAUCAACGCCGCGUGAGUGAUGAAGGUCUUCGGAUCGUAAAACUCUGUUAUUAGGGAAGAACAUAUGUGUAAGUAACUGUGCACAUCUUGACGGUACCUAAUCAGAAAGCCACGGCUAACUACGUG